rnacentral:pre_miRNA from 1 species
GUUCAUAGAACUCGUGGUUGAUACGUUCAUAGAAACGCGUGGUUUCCACGAGUUCUAUGAACGUAUCAACCACGAGUUCUAUGAACGUAUCAACCACGAGUUCUAUGAACAUAU